CCAGCUUGCUGGUGGAUUAGUGGCGAACGGGUGAGUAACACGUGGGUGAUCUGCCCCAAACUUUGGGAUAAGCCUGGGAAACUGGGUCUAAUACCGAAUAUGACCGAUACUCGCAUGGGUGUUGGUGGAAAGCUCCGGCGGUUUGGGAUGGGCCCGCGGCCUAUCAGCUUGUUGGUGGGGUAAUGGCCUACCAAGGCGACGACGGGUAGCCGGCCUGAGAGGGCGACCGGCCACACUGGGACUGAGACACGGCCCAGACUCCUACGGGAGGCAGCAGUGGGGAAUAUUGCACAAUGGGCGCAAGCCUGAUGCAGCGACGCCGCGUGAGGGAUGACGGCCUUCGGGUUGUAAACCUCUUUCACCAGGGACGAAGCGAAAGUGACGGUACCUGGAGAAGAAGCACCGGCCAACUACGUGCCAGCAGCCGCGGUAAUACGUAGGGUGCGAGCGUUGUCCGGAAUUACUGGGCGUAAAGAGCUCGUAGGCGGUUUGUCGCGUCGUUCGUGAAAACUUGGGGCUUAACUCCAAGCGUGCGGGCGAUACGGGCAGACUUGAGUACUACAGGGGAGACUGGAAUUCCUGGUGUAGCGGUGAAAUGCGCAGAUAUCAGGAGGAACACCGGUGGCGAAGGCGGGUCUCUGGGUAGUAACUGACGCUGAGGAGCGAAAGCGUGGGUAGCGAACAGGAUUAGAUACCCUGGUAGUCCACGCCGUAAACGGUGGGUACUAGGUGUGGGUUCCUUUUCACGGGAUCCGUGCCGUAGCUAACGCA
rnacentral:rRNA from 1 species